rnacentral:rRNA from 1 species
CCAGAUGUGAACAAGAAGUACCAUUUGCAGUGCAAUUUUUGUGACAAGCUAUUGAAAGGUGGAAUUACUAGAGUGAAGUACCAUCUUGCUUGCAUUACUGGCUUCAAUGCUGUUAAAUGUAAGAAGGUUCCAACUGAUGUGAAGGAAGAGAUUAUUGCUUUUCUUACGAAGAAGAGUGGUGACAAGCAAAAGAAGAAGGAUCAAGUGCAAAGGGUUCGAUCUGCAAUUAAUAUAGAGAACUCAGAUGAUGAAAGGGGUAGUGGGGAUGAUUCUGACUUUGAGAGGAAUGAUGUUGUGUUGCUGAAGUCAAUAAGAGGCAGUGGGACGAGUAAUUCUGGAGCUGUGGUAGGUAGUGGCAGUGCCACUAUUGAUAAGUUUUACAAGAAAACAUCUAUAGAAGAGUCUGUUCGCAAUAAUCAAAGGGGAUUCAACGUUAGCCAGAAGGUCCAAUCGAAGUUGUCAACUAUGAAAAGAGAAGUGAAAAGGGACAGAGUUUGUGAGUAUAUUUGUCAGUUUUUCUAUGAAGCUAGCAUUCCUCACAACACUGUCACCCUCCCUAGCUUUGCUCAUAUGCUUGAGUCCAUCGGACAGUUUGGCAAGGACAUGAGAGGGCCUAGUCCAUAUGAGAUGAGUGGACCAUUUUUGCAGAAGAGGAAACAGAAGGUGCUGGAUGGAUUCAAGAAUCAUAAGGAAUCAUGGGACCUCACAUGUUGCACGGUUAGGACUGAUGCAUGGACAAAUAAGAAGGGCGGGGUAGUUAUGAAUUUAGUUAUGUGUAACAUCCCAAAUUUUCAAUUUGGUAUGUUAUACAUAGAUCAUCAUUGCAUAUCAUAUUUUAUUGCAUUUUGGCAAAUCCUCGGUAAAUCCUAA